UACGAAGGGGGCUAGCGUUGUUCGGAAUCACUGGGCGUAAAGCGCACGUAGGCGGAUCUUUAAGUCAGGGGUGAAAUCCCGAGGCUCAACCUCGGAACUGCCUUUGAUACUGUGUGGCUAGAGUAUGGAAGAGGUAGGUGGAACUGCGAGUGUAGAGGUGAAAUUCGUAGAUAUUCGCAAGAACACCAGUGGCGAAGGCGGCCUACUGGUCCAUCACUGACGCUGAGAUGCGAAAGCGUGGGGAGCAAACAGG
rnacentral:rRNA from 1 species